rnacentral:rRNA from 1 species
CCUACGGGGGGCAGCAGUGGGGAAUAUUGGGCAAUGGGCGCAAGCCUGACCCAGCAACGCCGCGUGAAGGAAGAAGGAUUUCGGGUUGUAAACCUCUUUUAUCAGGGACGAAGCAAACGACGGUAGCUGACGAAUAAGCCACGGCUAACUACCUGCCAGCCGCCGCGGUAAUACGUAGGUGGGAAGCGUUAUGCGGAUUUACUGGGUGUAAAGGGGGAGUAGGCGGGGAAGCAAGUCUGAGGUGAAAACCACGGGAUCAACCUGUGAACUGCUUUUGAAACUGUUUUGCUUGAGUGUUGGAGAGGCAAGCGGAAUUCCUGGUGUAGCGGUGAAAUGCGUAGAUAUACGGAGGAACACCAGUGGCGAAGGCGGAUUGCUGGACAAUAACUGACGCUGAGGCGCGAAAGCGUGGGGAGCAAACAGGAUUAGAUACCCCUGUAGUC